rnacentral:rRNA from 1 species
CUUACACAUGCAAGUCGAACGGCAGCGCGGGGCAACCUGGCGGCGAGUGGCGAACGGGUGAGUAAUAUAUCGGAACGUGCCCUGGAGUGGGGGAUAACGCAGCGAAAGUUGCGCUAAUACCGCAUACGAUCUAAGGAUGAAAGCGGGGGAUUCGCAAGAACCUCGUGCUCCUGGAGCGGCCGAUAUCUGAUUAGCUAGUUGGUGGGGUAAAGGCCUACCAAGGCAUCGAUCAGUAGCUGGUCUGAGAGGACGACCAGCCACACUGGAACUGAGACACGGUCCAGACUCCUACGGGAGGCAGCAGUGGGGAAUUUUGGACAAUGGGCGAAAGCCUGAUCCAGCAAUGCCGCGUGAGUGAAGAAGGCCUUCGGGUUGUAAAGCUCUUUUGUCAGGGAAGAAACGGUGAAGGCUAAUAUCCUUUGCUAAUGACGGUACCUGAAGAAUAAGCACCGGCUAGCUACGUGCCAGCAGCCGCGGUAAUACGUAGGGUGCAAGCGUUAAUCGGAAUUACUGGGCGUAAAGCGUGCGCAGGCGGUUUUGUAAGUCUGUCGUGAAAUCCCCGGGCUCAACCUGGGAAUUGCGAUGGAGACUGCAAGGCUAGAAUCUGGCAGAGGGGGGUAGAAUUCCACGUGUAGCAGUGAAAUGCGUAGAGAUGUGGAGGAACACCGAUGGCGAAGGCAGCCCCCUGGGUCAAGAUUGACGCUCAUGCACGAAAGCGUGGGGAGCAAACAGGAUUAGAUACCCUGGUAGUCCACG